rnacentral:lncRNA from 1 species
AGCAAUAAAAACCGAACGAGUAGUUUUUGUACCUGCUAGAUGAAACGCAUAGCAAUGACUACUAAAAAUAUGACAUGCCAACUCAAAAAAAUAAAAUAAUUGACUAAAAAAACAAAAAGGAUAAAUACAAAAAUAUAAUGAGAUUAUGUGAAUGAGACCAUAGAAAAUCUCAACUAGUUGGGCACUCCCAAUUUAUUUUUUACGGCAUCUUCAGUAUCUGCCC